GACGAACGCUGGCGGCGUGCCUAAUACAUGCAAGUAGAACGCUGAAGAGAGGAGCUUGCUCUUCUUGGAUGAGUUGCGAACGGGUGAGUAACGCGUAGGUACCUGCCUGGUAGCGGGGGAUAACUAUUGGAAACGAUAGCUAAUACCGCAUAAAAUUGAUUAUUGCAUGAUAAUUAAUUGAAAGAUGCAACUGCAUCACUACCAGAUGGACCUGCGUUGUAUUAGCUAGUUGGUGAGGUAACGGCUCACCAAGGCGACGAUACAUAGCCGACCUGAGAGGGUGAUCGGCCACACUGGGACUGAGACACGGCCCAGACUCCUACGGGAGGCAGCAGUAGGGAAUCUUCGGCAAUGGGGGGAACCCUGACCGAGCAACGCCGCGUGAGUGAAGAAGGUUUUCGAAUCGUAAAGCUCUGUUGUAAGAGAAGAACGGGUGUGAGAGUGGAAAGUUCACACUGUGACGGUAUCUUACCAGAAAGGGACGGCUAACUACGUG
rnacentral:rRNA from 1 species